UACGUAGGGUGCAAGCGUUGUCCGGAAUUAUUGGGCGUAAAGAGCUCGUAGGCGGUCUGUCGCGUCUGCUGUGAAAACUCAGGGCUUAACCCUGAGCUUGCAGUGGGUACGGGCAGACUAGAGUGCGGUAGGGGAGACUGGAAUUCCUGGUGUAGCGGUGAAAUGCGCAGAUAUCAGGAGGAACACCGGUGGCGAAGGCGGGUCUCUGGGCCGUAACUGACACUGAUGAGCGAAAGCCAGGGGAGCAAACGGG
rnacentral:rRNA from 1 species